CGAAAAUGGUUCUCUGCUUUUGCAGAGCUAAGAUGGGAAUGCAGUGUAAUUCUGCAACUAUGCCCGUAGCUGUAAGUCCGUUUAUGCGACUAUUCACCUAUGUCACUGGAAGUAAUGCGAGUCAUACGCUUUACAUCAAUUCCGGGAAGACGUAAUAGUUAGCGACGAAGUCAGAAGACCUGCCAUUUUGAGU
rnacentral:ncRNA from 1 species